rnacentral:sRNA from 1 species
UCAACAAGGCGGGUUGCCGCAUCGUCGA